UCAAAGAAUCCGAUUGCACGUUUUAACAGAACAUUUCUUUCGCUUUCUCAUCACUUUCCCGGGAAAAGAAUCUCUGUAAUAGCGUUGAUUCCACGUGUUUGUCUUGAUUAGUGUCGAUCUCACAAGACGUUUCUUCUUCGGAUUUAUUUAGCACCUAACUAACUAAAUCGAUUUUCGUAAGAGCGUUGACGAUUCUUAAAAGGUUUGGUUUCUUCUAUAUUCUCCACAGUAGAAAAUGGCUAACCAAGACCGGUCAUCGAGACGGAGCUUAACCGUCACGACUUCGUCAUUGCUCGGAAAGAACAAAUCCAUGGACAUCUCCGAACGAGGCCUCGACACUGGCCGGAGAUCUCUUAAUAUUUCACGUUCCACUUUGGGUUUAACGGGAGGGGAGAGAACUGUCAAACGCUUAAGGCUAUCGAAAGCUCUUACAGUACCUGCAACAACUACUAUAUAUGAAGCUUGUAAAAGAAUGGCGUCUCGCAAAGUCGAUGCCUUGUUGUUGACUGACUCUAACGAAAUGCUUUGUGGGAUUCUCACUGACAAGGACAUAGCUACAAGAGUGAUCUCACAGGAGAUUAAUGUAGAGGAAACACCUGUGUCCAAGGUUAUGACUAGGAACCCAAUGUUCGUUCUUUCCGAAACACUUGCUGUUGAAGCGCUCCAAAAGAUGGUCUUAGGUAAAUUCAGACAUCUGCCUGUUGUUGAAAACGGCGAAGUUAUUGCUUUGUUAGAUAUAGCAAAGUGUCUGUACGAUGCGAUUGCUCGUAUGGAGAGGGCAGCUGAGAAAGGUAAAGCCAUAGCUGCUGCCGUUGAAGGUGUUGAAAGAAGUUGGGGAACAAACACUUCAGUUCCCAACAACUUCAUUGAGACGCUAAGAGACCGGAUGUUUAGACCUUCUUUGUCAACACUGAUACCAGAUGAUUCAAAGGUGUUGAAAGUCUCGCCAGCCGAUACAGUGUUGACUGUAGCAAAGAAGAUGGUUGAGUUUCAAUUAAGCUGUGCGGUCGUGAUGGUCGAGGACAAGCUUCGAGGGAUUUUUACUUCUAAGGAUAUACUGAUGCGAGUUGUGGCUGAGAAUCUUCCUCCAUCUGAGACUACAGUGGAACAGGUUAUGACUGAGAAUCCAGAAUCUACGUCAGUUGACACACCAAUCGUUGAAGCUCUGCACAUCAUGCACGAGGGGAAGUUCUUACACCUUCCUGUUACAGACAAAGAAGGAGAUGUGGUUGCAGUUGUUGAUGUGAUCCAUGUAACUCACGCAGCUGUUGCCACGGCUGGAACUACUGCGGGAAUAGGUAAUGAGGAGACGAACACGAUGAUGCAGAAGUUUUGGGAUUCGGCAAUGGAGUUAUCUCCUAAUGAGGAAGACGAGGACACAAGAAGUGAGAGCUCCUUGAAAGUUGCUUCUGAAGCUGAGACAGGGAGGUCACUCCCUUUGGCAAAUACAUUUUCUUUCAAGAUCGAAGACAAGAACCACAGAAUGCACAGAUUCAUUAGCGACACUCGUAGUUUGACAGAAGUGAUAACAGCAAUUCUUCAGAGAGUAGGGAGUGAUAUCGAUCCAGACAACUUACCUCAAAUUUUGUAUGAAGAUGAAGACCAUGAUAAAGUGUUGUUGGCUUCAGAUAGUGACCUUCAAGCCGCCAUAGACCAUGCCAAAUCAAUUGGCUGGAAGAGUCUGAGAUUAUAUUUGGAUGAUUCAAAAGGAGGUAAAGGAGCAAGAAGAAGAAAGAGAGCAACAGUAUCAGGAGAAGCAAUGGAGUAUGUACAUACAGACGCUUGGGCUGCUGCUUACAGUGGAGUUGCGGCUGGUGCAGCAUUAGUAGCUGGUCUUGGUUUUAUGGCUUAUCUCAAGAGAGCCGGACAGUGACUUCUCAAAAGGACAAUCAAGUCCUCUUGCUGAUCGAUACAAACAAAAAAAGUGUGAUGCAAUACAGUAUAGACAGAGAGAACUAUCUCAUCAAAUGAGGAACUGAAGAACAAAAGCUUUGAAUCUUGUCUAAACUGAUCACACAAUUGCAAGAAAAAAACACUCAAAUAGAACAAGGGCUUUGCCAUGUGAGACAUCAGCUAUAAGUUCUCCAAACUUGUUGAUAAGUUCUUUGACAUGAACAUUCUUGUUUGCAAUCUCCUGCAUUCACAAACGUUGAACACUUUAAACUACACUAGAUGACUGAAAUUAUUAACCA